UAAUCUGAAUAGUUAUUCAACUUUUAAAAAAAGUCAAUCCUCAAUACAAGUGUAUGAACAAUGUAAUUAUUAUGUUUUAUUUUUGUACUAUCAAUUCCAAGUUUACUUUCCACAGCAGUCACUGAGAGUGAGAGAAGGUAUUUCACUUUGUUCCUUAUCACCUAUUUUCCUACGUGAAUUCUAGGUGGAACCUAAUUCCUAACUCUUUAAAUAUUUAAUUUCCUUUGGGUCAGUGGGCAUGACUCCUUUCCGUACACAUUCCUCUGUUUAAAUUGUGAUCGGUUUUAAUAUAAUACGACGUCUAUCGACAGAACGAGUUAAUUUUCUCGAUGUAUCGUUUGACGAAAGUUACUUACGGAAGGGAGACAACUCGAAGCGAUAAUAUGGAAGACUCCAUUUUGGCUGAAGGGGUGUUCUAGUUAUGGACUACAUUUAUUUUAAUUUAAAUGAUGCAACAACAAUAACCCUCAAUAGCAGACAAGACAAUAGAAAGGAUCUCACGAGUUUCAAAUUAAUCAAUGGAGUGGGGAAUCCAGAGCAACCAUUCAAUCUGAUACCCCUACAAGUCAAGAAAAAUAUACGCAUGCGCAUACCUACGUAAACAAACCCUGGCCUUGUGAUUUGUA
rnacentral:lncRNA from 1 species